AGAGCUCACCCUCUCUGAAGGAGAGCAGGUGCCUCCUGAGAGCAGGGCUUCUCUACCUUGGGGCACUAUGAACAUUCUGAGUGGGGUAAGUGUUUACUGUGGGAGGCCCUAUUCAUGGCAGGAGGUUUAGCAAUCUCCCUGGCCUCUAGCCACUAGAUGACAAUAGCACCCCUGCCACACCCACUGUGUAACAACCAAAAAUGUCUCCAGACAUUGCCAAAUGCCCCCUGGGUCGGGGACGAGAGGGCAAAAGCAGCCCCAGUUGGGAGCCACUGCUUUAGAGAAUGGAGCUUGGAGCUGAUUUCUGGGACAAAUCCCAUGGGAUAGCCAGGACGUGCACCUGGGCGCCCUGAACGAGUGCCCAGAUGCUUGUGAGGCCCAGAUCUUGGGGUGUGCAGCCAGGAAGGGCUCUGCUAGCUUUCCCACCUCCCUCCUGACCUCUUCUGCCCCUCACUGGACCCAGCCCGUUGGCUUCAGGAUGGGCCCCACGGGACAUGCUUUCAUGGAACCUGAGGAAAGAAUGCACUUACAACAGCGCCGGGAGCACAGAGGCUUCCCACUACCCUUUCCGAGAAGCACGUCUAUUUUCUCUAAUUUAUUCAGUGCCGCUGUGCGUGUGUGGCCUCUCAGGUAAAGAGUGAUUUCAGCUAACAUGCACCAUGCCUGCCACCUACCUGUACUGGAGAUUUCAGACUGAUGCCUCCCUUGGGUCUCCAGGGAACUUUCUGAUUCAAAUUCCAUUUGACACAGAUUCUGAAAGUGUGCCUUGCGAGGGCCCUGGCCUGCCAUCCUCAUUAUACUCAGAAGCCCAGAAGUAGCAGUGGCAGGGGCACCCUGGAAGCCCCGGGGUUCUCAUUAGGUGACAGAUGCCACCACAGGCCUCUGCCAUUUGCCAAGCUUCCUAUUACAAGCCACCUGGGAACAUUCACUCAGGGCUUUUUCAGACAGAGCUGCACAUCUGGCACUAUCUUGAGUCUGUGCCUCUGGGGACCCCGUCUGUACUCAGUUUCCCUAUCUGCAAAAUGAAAAACAUAAUACUUAUUUCUCAGGGAUGAAUAGAGAUAAUUCAGCAUGUUUUUCAAAUUUCAGUGUGUUGCCUGCGCCCUCAUGAGUUUUACUAUGACCACAUGCCACCUGUACCAUUAUGUUUAUUUUAUUUUUUAGAGAUGGAAGGUCUCAUUCUGUUGCCCAGGCUGUAGGGCAGUGGUGCUAUCCGUAGUUCACUGCAUCUUCAAACUCCCGGGCUCAAGGGAUCCUCUCACCUUAGUCUCUAGUACUACAGGUACACACUACCAAACUUGGCUGACUCCUUUAUUUAUAUAGAGAUGAGGUCUCGCUAUGUUGCCUAGGCAGCUCUGGAACUCCUGGCCUCAAGCCAUACUCCCAUCUUGGCCUCCCAAACUGUUGGGAUUACAGACAUAAGCCACCACACCCAACUUCAUUAUUUAUUUAAUUAAUAUUUCCUUAAAUGAAUCCAUGUUGAAAGACUUGAGCUGAUCUAUUUCAAAAGGAAAUUUUUAUAUUAUUAGCAUUAGAGGAAAAUUGAUAUCACUUGUCACAAAUGCAAAGCAAUAAGAAAAGACAAAGAAGACGACGUCAUAACUGUUUAUCUGUGUACCAACUAAACUCAUGAUGAAGAGCCAUGCUGUGCCUCCUGUGCUUUUGGAAGCACAUGAAUAUAAAGGAUGCCUAGGGUCUGGCACAUAGUAAGUACUCAAUGAAUGAUCACUGCUAUGAAGAAAAUGAGGCCAACGUGGUGUCGGCCCUUGGAAACAUUUCUCUGAGUUGGUCAAGGGGAACAAUUUUGCUCCAAGAAACUGUCAUAUUUAUUCUUCUCUGAUAAUUAGAGCUCCACAAUUUAUCAUGGUCGUAAGUUGCAAAAAUGGCAACAACCAUCACUCUUCCCAAUAAGAAGUGAAGUCCAUUUCCUGCCCCUAAAAUCUGGUCUGGCCUUGUGACUUGCUUCAGCCAAUGGAACAUAGCAGGAGUGCUGGUAUACCAGUUCUAAGCCUAGAGGAAGAGGCUUUCCAAGGGGCCUGACAGCUUCUGCUUUCUCGGGCCCCUGCUAUCACCAUGUGAACAAGCCUGGGUUGGCCUGCUGCUGGAUGAGAGGCCAUGUAGAACCCAGCCAAGGUGUCCCAGUUAAGGCCAUCUCAGAGCAGCCAGCACCCAGCACCCAGCAGCCUGCCAUUGGUCUCCAGAUGCACGCAUGAGCCCAACCAAGAUCAGCCAAUCCUGCCUCAGACCAGCAGAACUGUGCAGCCCAGCCUGAGAUUUGUGAGGAGUGACAAAUGGUGUUUUCAGCUUCUAGAUGUUGGGGAGAUUUGUUAUGCAGCAACAGCUGGCCUUCCCAUUUUGUCUUGUUUGUUGCGAUGGUGCCCAGUCAUAGCAGCUCCAUUUGUGCUAGAAUUAUUUAUCUAUUUCCUCUUCUUAAUUGUCUUCCCUUCCUUUUUCACUCCUUUGUGUGUGUUUUUGAAAGACACCUCAAGUAUCUUUGGAAAGGAGCUGGAUAUAGAUAAUAAAUUGAAAAUCGAACUGAGA
rnacentral:lncRNA from 1 species